CCUUUAUUCAGUCUCUUUCAAUCUACCAGUAUAACUGCCAAUCACAGGAAAUACCUCUAAUAACUCUUCCUUUUACUUAAUAAGGAAUAUCACAUCUUUUAAACAUUAGAAACAGAUGUCACUGCAUUACUUCACUGCUGAUGUAUGUAAUAGGAAUGACACACUAAUUAAUUUAAUGCAGUAUAAAUGUACUGAUUAUUUAUCAUGGCUGACAAUAAAAUUAUGAAAACAUUCAAUUACAAUCAGUGGUAAUUCAUUAUUUAUUGAUUUUGCAUUAUGCACACAUUAAUACAAUACAUUUGAUUAAAGAAGAGAAGGGAUCAUUCCUCUAUUGAUACUUAAGACAUUUAGAUUCAUCCGUUUUAUUUAAAAUCCUUGAUGUUUAGAUGGGAAGUUUUAAUCCACACUUCUACCAACAAAACUUCCUUGAAAUGCCAGAAGUAAAUUGAACACAAGUCCCAAGCAUUUAGAAAAAGGUGGGCAACAAGAAGAUACACUCAUUUCACUCUCUUCAUUUGCUCACAUCUGCGCCCUACAUUUGCUAACCUGAUCCUGGGUACACUCUCCCUUGAAACAUUAACACUAAUCUUCAAAAAACAAACAAACAACAAAAAGACGACCCAACUUUUUUCUUCCUUUUUAAGGCUGUACUGAGAAUUAGCUGUAUCAGUUGCUCUCACGGUCGCAACAUUAAGUCAAAGAGUGCUUUGGAUCAGCCUGAGUAACUUUCCUGUUAAGGACUAGGGGAAAAUAUCAUUGCUACUAUGAUUCCAGUCAGGCUGGAAUUCAGAAAAAUGGUGUUCCAUUUCAUUAUGCUUAGGGAGAAUUGUAAAUAAAUCUUUCAGUUAUUUUUUCCUUCUUCAUUUUGGGCCCACAGUUGCCUCUGACCCUCAUAAACCUAUGUUCACAUGUACACCUCAGAAACCUCUGAGUACAGGGGAGAGUUCCAAGAUCUUCACUAAAAACUAACGUGUUCUGCCAUAACGUGCUCACACUGGACAUACUGGUAUCAAGGCCACAAAAAAAGAAUUAUUCACACUAAAAAAAAAAGAAAGAAAUUCACCAUGCAUCAUUUCACACCAACCAGGCAUACGUAGUGAUCAUUAAAGCAAAAACAAGCAAAUAGAAGCUUUGUUUGAUAUUUUGCCAUAGGUACAUAGCCAGUUUUUACAUGUCGCUAAUAUACAAUGCAUGUAUAUCAUCUCAAUGACUGUUAAAAAAAAAUAUCUAUUUCGUAUGCCAGUCUAAAAUUAACAACAUUGAAACUUUAAUUUCAAAUAAAUUUUCUACAAUGCUCUUUAAGCUAUAGGGAGACUUACAUUCAAAUUGCAUACUGCUGGACUCUAUUCAAAUAAACCAUCUGGGUACUUUAUAAAUGACAAGAUAUUACUGUAUGAUUGUAAGGCUUUGGUAACUUUGCCUUGUCAGUAAUAAAAUUAGAGGCAAAUAAAAAUAUUCAUUGAUACUGUUGAUUUCUAUAUGCAUGGCUGAACUGGGCAGCUGCCUGGUAUUAAUUCUCAAACCUUGAGCUUUUCCUUAGUUUAAGAGCAGUUCUGCUCUCCAUGGAUAGUCACCUCUCAAGGGUACUGUUUUUACUACAGCCUUUAUGAUUUUAUAUUGCUUCAUGCCAGUCCAACUCACGGGGUGCUGAUGCGCGAGGCUUCCUCUGGCCUUGCAAAAAUUCAGUCUUAUUUAGAAAUAUGUUUAGCUUAUGGAAGACAUUAAAGUCAAAAAGGAAAAAGAAUACUCACAGUGGAAUUUGAUUGUCACAUUAAUCUCAAAGUAAAAAAAAAAAAAAAAGUCUUCAAAAGGGCAAAGCCAAUGAGAAAUUUGUAGAAUCAUAGAAAUUCUUCAGUUUGACUUAUUAGAUCUCCUAAUAGCAAUUAUGUCCUGUAAAUUAACCCCCAAAAGUUUAUAUUCGAAGUUGGUUACUUAGUAUUUGUACCAAUUCUAGCAUGUAAAAAUCUCAAGACGAGUUCAGGACUCAACUGCACAGAACUUUUUGCUAAGUAGAUAGCCCCUGUGCCACAGAGCUUCUAACAUAAGGCUCUCAUCCUAGAAAGAUGAUUACUCUCACUGAAAGAUAUUCACUUCACACCAGGUUAUAUGAUGAUUCUGCCCCAGUCAGCUAUAUUAGGAGACUAAAAUGGGUGGCCACUCUUUGUAACAGACAACUGAGAGAAAGUGGGGUUCCUCCAGGAGCACUUGAAUUAACAAACACACCAACUUAGUCACCAUACAGUCAUCUCACCUCAAAUGGGAUUUCUCAUGAAGCAAACAUGUUAGAUUGUAUAGAAAAAGUGGCUAGCUAGGCAAGCUUAACAAGAAGAUGGCUCAUACAAGCAGUGCAACUGGGGAAGUAGCUGAAAUGCCCCAAUGGCAUCGAGGCUGGAUGUGGCUCUGGGCAGCCUGGUCUGGUGGUUGGCAAUCCUGCCUGUGGCAGGGGGGUUCAAACUAGAUGGUCAUCACUGUCCUUUUCAACCCAGGCCAUUCUGUGAUUCUAUGACCUCCAUGUUUUGUUGGUACUCUUGUUUGCUUUGCUUACUGAAUGGUGCAGGGGAAUUAAAAAAAAAAAAAAAAAAGUCAACAGGUUGAGGAAGAAGAUAACAGAAGACUGAAAAAAUAAGCGCAAAUGAACAGUUGGUAUCAAUGUUCAUACAAAGGAAGAAAGGGACAGGGCUGGAAAAAGAAGUCCAAUAAAGCUAGAGUUGGAAAAGCAAAGGAAAUUAGGAACCCAGUCAGCUGCGUUGGCUGUACCUGGGUGUGUCACACUCAACCACCUCCACGUGCGUUUUUUCUGACCACCGUUCGUGCGCACUCACUCAGCUCUCCUCAGGGACGCGAGAAGCUCCGUGCGUUCUCCUCACACCUCGCGACCGUUCCCGCGAUGACGCGGCCCGCCCAGCUCCGGGCUGAGGCUGCGCAGGCCGAGCGCCGCACGUGCUGCCCCAGGCGCGAGGAGGGGCCCGGUACUACUGCACCUGAAACGCAAUCGAUGCUGCGCUAGAUUCUCAGAACUUCGAUAAGUUACACGUGAGACUUCCCAAAACUUUCUGAGCUGCAGCGAGGAAGCACCCACGCACCCGGCAGCGGGACACGAGCUCCGAGCUCCCCUCACUCCGCUGCCCGCCGUCCCGCCUCCCACCAGCAGCGCCACCCGGCGCCUCACACCCCGCGGCCCAGGUGCUG
ensembl:lncRNA